AUGAGUGCGCUAGAGCCGGAUGAACUGGAUGAUAAGGAUUUUGAGGGUCGGCCUUCAGGGCUUGGCCUUGGUGCUAGAGUGGCGCCAAACGCGAAGCGGGCAGCUCCCACCGAUCCAGUGGAGAGGAGGUUGCUCGGGAAGGUGAAUGCGCAGAAGAGGAAGUCUGCAGAGGAGGAGAAAACAAAUACUCAGGAGGUGAAUGAGGCGAGUGAUGAUGAUAGCGGCGAGCCUCAAGGUAGAACCAGUGCUUGUAGCAAAAAGAGGGAAUUGCCUUCAGUUACUUCAAUGCCAUUAGGGAAGAAGACCAAGUGA
rnacentral:rRNA from 1 species